AGAGCGAACGCUGGCGGCAGGCCUAAUACAUGCAAGUCGAACGGAUCCUUCGGGAUUAGUGGCGGACGGGUGAGUAACACGUGGGAACGUACCCUUUGGUUCGGAACAACUCAGGGAAACUUGAGCUAAUACCGAAUUUACCCUUCGGGGAAAAGAUUUAUCGCCAUUGGAGCGGCCCGCGUCUGAUUAGCUAGUUGGUAGGGUAAAGGCCUACCAAGGCUACGAUCAGUAGCUGGUCUGAGAGGAUGAUCAGCCACACUGGGACUGAGACACGGCCCAGACUCCUACGGGAGGCAGCAGUAGGGAAUCUUGCGCAAUGGGCGAAAGCCUGACGCAGCCAUGCCGCGUGAAUGAUGAAGGUCUUAGGAUUGUAAAAUUCUUUCAGCGGGGACGAUAAUGACGGUACCGCAGAAGAAGCCCCGGCUAACUUCGCGCCAGCAGCCGC
rnacentral:rRNA from 1 species